rnacentral:rRNA from 1 species
UACAGAGGGGGCAAGCGUUGUCCGGAAUCAUUGGGCGUAAAGAGCGUGUAGGCGGUCCGGUAAGUCCGCUGUGAAAGUCGGGGGCUCAACCCUCGAAUGCCGGUGGAUACUGUCGGGCUAGAGUGCGGAAGAGGCGAGUGGAAUUCCUGGUGUAGCGGUGAAAUGCGCAGAUAUCAGGAGGAACACCUAUUGCGAAGGCAGCUCGCUGGGACGUAACUGACGCUGAGACGCGAAAGCGUGGGGAGCGAACAGG